UACGUAGGGCGCAAGCGUUAUCCGGAAUUAUUGGGCGUAAAGAGCUCGUAGGCGGUUUGUCGCGUCUGCCGUGAAAGUCCGGGGCUCAACUCCGGAUCUGCGGUGGGUACGGGCAGACUAGAGUGAUGUAGGGGAGACUGGAAUUCCUGGUGUAGCGGUGAAAUGCGUAGAUAUCAAGUGGAACACCAGUGGCGAAGGCGAGUCCCUGGACGACUCCUGACACUGAGGCACGAAAGCUAGGGGAGCAAACAGG
rnacentral:rRNA from 1 species